CUGAAACUAAAGAUCCUCUACGAGUUCAACCUCAUCUCAAGAAAUGUUUUGAAGGUAUUGCUCAAUUAACUUUUAAUGAAGAAAAGGUUAUAACAGCCAUGGAAUCUAAAGAGAAAGAGAGAGUUGAUUUUCCGAAGACUAUAACUCCAGCUGAAUCAAGGGGUUUAGUUGAAAAAUGGCUUCUUCAG
rnacentral:lncRNA from 1 species